CAGUCGCCGCGGUAACACGUAGGGUGCAAGCGUUAAUCGGAAUUACUGGGCGUAAAGCGUGCGCAGGCGGUUAUAUAAGACAGAUGUGAAAUCCCCGGGCUCAACCUGGGAACUGCAUUUGUGACUGUAUAGCUAGAGUACGGCAGAGGGGGAUGGAAUUCCGCGUGUAGCAGUGAAAUGCGUAGAUAUGCGGAGGAACACCGAUGGCGAAGGCAAUCCCCUGGGCCUGUACUGACGCUCAUGCACGAAAGCGUGGGGAGCAAACAGGAUUAGAGACCCCCGUAGUCCCUGUCUCUUAUAC
rnacentral:rRNA from 1 species